AGUGUUAGAACAACAGGGGACACUCCAGGGCAAUAAACCAAUACUUUGCCUAAUGACUGGUAGCAUAUGUCUGAACAAACUGCAUCAAUGGGGAAUUCCAGGACAGCCUGCCAAGCUCUGCACAACCACCCACGACUUUCAAAUGAUAUUUGGAAAUCAUGUCAUGACCUUCAUGCAAAUGGCAAUCGACUCAGCCUUCGGGGAUGGACUACACCACAAUUAUUUUGGCUCCUCCGAGCCCAAAGGCUGUGUGAAUGCUCUCCUACUGCUCCAUCCACGCUGGUGCCAAGUGGAGACCCAUUCACAAGGAGGUUUUUUUUGCAAGACCUCUCUACUGGUGGCACGGGGGAGCUGCAAGGGACGGAGCGCUGGGAGCUGUUUUCAAAGACGACGGCUCACCAGAAGGACUGGAGGAACCGCUGAACGAGAGCAGCGCGAACCCCACGGGACCCCAGGAGCCUCGAACCCGCAACCCUAAGGCUCAGCGCGGCUCGCAGCAGCGCCACCUCCCGCCCAGAUGUUGGAGCCUGAGACCAGAGAAAAUUUCAUUCAGGAUCUCAUGGUGAUGCAGCAGGAGCCUCAUUAAGGUGAAGAGAAGCAGCAGCACUACUCCCAGCCUGCAUUCUGCCAGUGCUGCCAGAUGGACCCCACUCCAUGCCUCAGCCUCUCCUCACCCUAAACCUCAGCACAGCAAUUUCAGAGGAGAAAGACGACGCUGAAGGUGUACCUUGUUCAGUAAGAAAGAGGAAGGCAUAGAUAGAUGAUGAGAAAUCAGGAGGAGAAAGGGUGGAGGAAAGAGGCUGCUAAACAUGAGAGGAUGAUGUGGCCUCCAGAGGGGAUGUACAACACGUCAAAGUGAGAGGUUAAAGAAAAGGAUUCUACCCUGGCAGAUUCUGUGGAUCACGGUCUGUUCUGUUGGCCUUGAAGCUGUUGAAGUAACAACAGAGUUCUGGCACUCUGUCCCUGAGCACAAGAAAAAUGUUGCACGACACAA